UACGAAGGGGGCUAGCGUUGUUCGGAAUUACUGGGCGUAAAGCGCACGUAGGCGGAUACUUAAGUCGAGGGUGAAAUCCCGGGGCUCAACCCCGGAACUGCCUUUGAUACUGGGUAUCUCGAGUCCGGAAGAGGUGAGUGGAAUUCCGAGUGUAGAGGUGAAAUUCGUAGAUAUUCGGAGGAACACCAGUGGCGAAGGCGGCUCACUGGUCCGGUACUGACACUGAGGCACGAAGGCCAGGGGAGCAAACGGG
rnacentral:rRNA from 1 species